rnacentral:rRNA from 1 species
CACUCCUGCGGGAGGCAGCAGUGGGGAAUAUUGCACAAUGGGCGCAAGCCUGAUGCAGCCAUGCCGCGUGUAUGAAGAAGGCCUUCGGGUUGUAAAGUACUUUCAGCGGGGAGGAAGGCAAUACGGUUAAUAACCGUGUUGAUUGACGUUACCCGCAGAAGAAGCACCGGCUAACUCCGUGCCAGCAGCCGCGGUAAUACGGAGGGUGCAAGCGUUAAUCGGAAUUACUGGGCGUAAAGCGCACGCAGGCGGUCUGUCAAGUCGGAUGUGAAAUCCCCGGGCUCAACCUGGGAACUGCAUUCGAAACUGGCAGGCUUGAGUCUUGUAGAGGGGGGUAGAAUUCCAGGUGUAGCGGUGAAAUGCGUAGAGAUCUGGAGGAAUACCGGUGGCGAAGGCGGCCCCCUGGACAAAGACUGACGCUCAGGUGCGAAAGCGUGGGGAGCAAACAGGAUUAGAAACCCCUGUAGUCCCAUGAU